rnacentral:lncRNA from 1 species
AGCAACGAGGAGUGUUCAUCUGAAAUCAGUUCUGAGAAUGUAUCCAAAAAGGGAUGUGGCUCAGCGGGAGUAUCAGACCUAUUACAUGUCGAGACAGAAGAGAGUUGUGGAACCCACUCCGACGAGCCUAAGGAAGAUAAUGAGUUGUCUCAAUCUGAAGAGUCUAGUGAUGAGGAAUCUUCCAUGGAAGUGCUUUUGGACCAGCAUGAUCCUGAUGAUGAUUCCAACAACUCAUGCACUGAGAAAGAAGCAGAUUCUUGUUUUGCCACUGAAAGAGCUACAACUGGUGUUGCCUUUUCUCCUUAUUUGAUAGGCUCGUCACCAAAAAAGCCGGGUACCAUUCUUUUUAACUGAGUUUUAUGCCUUCUUCAAUUAAUGUUAACCUCAUGGAGCUGAGUACUUACUUGGUCUAUGUGUGUGAUGAUUUUGCAGAAGGAAAUUUUCAAAUUCAACUCGAACGAGUGGAAGCUAAAAAGAACUAUGAAGAAGAAGAACCUUACAAGCAACCAUUACUAAUAAGCCUCAUGAAGAAACCUCCACCACGUGAUAGAGAGUUGGGCGAAGCUAUGUCUACAUCUGGUUCUGCACAAAAAAAACUAAAAACAUCAUGAAAUUGUCUAGCAGUCUGGACAUAAAGAUGUAUCUUAUCAGCUUUCUUGAUCGCUUAAUUAGCUAAGAAGCAUCUUCUAGGUGUGAUAAGGGAAAUAUUGGUGGUGACUUUGAUUAGAUUAAAUCAAACUUUAAUACUUUGUGCAUAGUAGCUGAUUUUGGAACUUCCGGUUGAUUUGACUUGUUUUACUGAUUAAUAAAAACUUUAGAAUCAUUCUGUCAAUGACUUUGUUUUUGUUCUAACUCCGAACUUCAAACGCCUAAUGGCGACAAAUUAAUAAGAUCACUACUAUAGACCAGACCACAGGACAGUAGACAACAAUUUGUUAGUGAGAUGAAAGCCGGUCGGUUUGGUUCCGGUCACUUUCAAACCACUUGAUUAACCAAUAAUUCAAUUGAAAUGAAAUUUACCAAGUUAAAUACACUAAGUAAAGUGUUAAAGCCUGAAGAUUAUUUGGACUAUGAUUAUUUUUUUUUCAAAUUUGAGUAGCAAUAUACUAGUCUCCUUCCGAGUCUACACUUUGUUUCGUUUGUAUUUUGGUUAACAACUGAAAAAGAACUCUACCUAUGCACCCAUAAUAUCCCAAGUUCAAAUCUCUUUCGUACAUAUUUAAUUUUAGUUUCACAAAAAAACAACUGACAAAAAAAAAAUACAAUUUUCUCUAGAAACCAAAUAAAGAAAAGGGAUGGAGGAAAAAAAAAACGGAAUAUAUGAACUUUAAUACUGAAUCAAAAGGAAGCCCUAAGAACAGAGAAAACAGCCGCCAGCCUUUCGUUGCUUUCUCCGGUGGUGUUUGGCAUGGUGCUGACAAAAAAAAAAAAAUCCAUUAUUUGGUUGGUAGGAUUACUCACAAAAAUCACCUUGUGGUGGAGGCGUAAAAAUAGUGACCUACUCGCUUUCAAACGCGAUACAAUCACCAAAGUAUUGAAACAUUAAUUAUCCUCGAUAGAAACAUAUAGUUGAAAGUUGUGAAUUUCACUUUGUGUAAUAGCAUGUUUCUUCUAGCUCAACUAUGAACAACAUCAACAAUAUAGAAGAAACUGCGAAUUACAAUGAGGAAGAUUAUCUAAUCAAAACUGAUACUCUUUUGGAUGAAGACACUUUCAUGUCUCUUGCAUUUGAAUGGUGAUCCACUGCAUUGGUGAAAAUCGUACAUAGAAAAAUUCAUAUGGCACAAUUGUCAUAUCAGAAUGCAAUUAACAUUGAUGUUAUGAUAAUAUGCUGUGCAUUGUUUCCGGUAACUCAUAAAUACUAAAUUGAGCUAAAAAGAAAUUGAAUUCUAUAUUAUUAUUAUCUAAAAAUAUCAUUCAAAAUUAAUAAGAAACCUAAUAUAUAAUAAAUAUACUAAUAAAUAUUUUGUAACAUAAUUAUAUCCGCAUAUGCGAGUAAAACACCUAGUUAUGAACAAUUCUAUAUUUUUAAAAUAAAAAAUGUUUUAAAAAAUAAAAGUGAUACAAAAAUAGUAGAAGGUAAAAAAAAACUAAAAAAUUGUUUCUUUUAACAUCUAUCAUGUAGCAAGCACGAAUACAACAUUUGCAGAUAGUAUCCUUUUUUUUUGUCAUCUUGCAGAUAGUAUAUAGUACUGAAAAUUAAUGGCUUGAAAAAAAAUUAGUGAUGAUUCUGAUUUUGUAGUUGUGGGAGGAUACAAAUCAAAUUAUCAAUCAAGGAUACUAAUUACUUGUUACUUAUAUUACCAAUUGGUUUUAAAAUUUAUGGUUGGCUGUGCUACAUCUAAAUUGCUUUAUCCUUGUAUAAAAUCUGUAACUUUAAAUUAUUAAAAAAUAUUUUAAUAUAAAAAUUUUGUAUGUAUUAGUAGUAUAUAUUACCAAUAAAUUAUUAAAACUAUUGUUGGCUUGAAUAGAAUUAGAGUAAAAAAAUCUAAACGUGUGGCCACCACCGACCUCAAACAAACGUACCGUAUAUAAGAAGCAUAUCAAUCAGAUGUUCGACGUCUAUAUUCUACUUUAGAGAUAAAAGAUGGCGUCUCGAUUUCCCUUCUCCACUCAAACCCUCUCCUAAAACUUACUCUCAUCUUCGCUUACGAUCUUUCUCCAAAUCAGUGUUCUCGACUUCUAGACGAAACCCUAAUUUUCAAUCUUAGGGUUUUGUCUUAAUACGAUGCUGGUGGCUAAUUCCGAGUUCUCUUCAUCUAUUUUACCUCCUUCGCCGUUAAUACCAAACCCCGUCGAAACCAUAGACGAGUCGAUUGGUAAUAAUCAGGUCUCGUUCUCGACGGAGGAGGUCUCAGUUCCGCCUCGAAACUCGGAUGAGCCUCUCUCUACUCCGUUGGACGAAACCCUAAUCGCGCCUUCUCCGUUACGUCUUGAGCACGGCGAGUGCAGUGAUGCUCAAGUCAUGAACAAGCCUAUAAAUCACUCUAAGAGCAACGAUACACACUUGGACAUUUGUUUGUCUAAAUCUCCAGAUAAUCGCCAACAAUGGUCUCCCAAUGUUUCACCUGGAUCCGAUACUGAUGUUGACUCAGGGAACCAACCCUUGUGGAGAUUCAGACAAAAACCUCCAGAGAUCGUGGAAUCCCCUUGUGUUGUAUGUUUUCUGAACUUGUGAUUCUCUUUUGUUUCAGUUUUAGGGUUUUGUCUGAUUACAAUUUGACAUCAAUUCGUAUAUAUAGGGUGCUGGACUUUUGAACCUAGGCAACAGCUGUUUCAUUAACUCAGUCUUGCAAUGUUUCACUCACACCGUGCCUCUUAUCGAGAGCCUCUACGCAUACCAAUAUGAAGAGCCUUGUAACUGUAAGACUGACUCUCUCACAAUGAGGCUUUUUAUUUUUCUUAUUUUGACAUAACCUUGUACUUGAUCUGAUAUUAGGCAACCAGAGGUUCUGUGUGAUAAGGGCUCUUCGAUAUCACAUUGGUGUUGCACUCGAGACCACUUCAGUAUUUUCAAUAUCUCCGGUCUAUUUCUUUAACAAUCUCCGUUGUAUGUAUCCUCCACAAAUAAAAAAAACUCCCGUCAUAAUAUUUUUACUAUAUUUUUUGUAUAUAUUUCUCUGAAUUUAAUCAUUAAACUACCACAUGCAGGUUUUUCACCUGACUUCCGGCGUUACCAACAAGAAGACGCACAUGAGUUUCUACAUGCGUUUCUGAAUAAGUUGGAGAUAUGUUGUUUGAAUCGAAGAAAUGAUGUUAACUUUGUUCAACAUAUCUUUGGUGGUCGUCUCGUCAGUGAGGUAAGAAGUUAACUCUAAUUAACCAUAUAUUUUUGUCAAGCAGUUUUCCUAUGCGUUUUAAAUUUUGAUUCGGGAUACAUGUAUCAGCUUCGUUGCUGCAACUGCAACUACGUUUCCGAGACAUUUGAAGAUUCUCUUGGGUUGAGUUUGGAAAUUGAAGAUGUUGAUAACCUUCAAAGUGCACUAGAUUCCUUUACUCGUGUAGAAAAACUUGAAGAGCAAAUGAAGUGUGAUAACUGUGAUGAAAAAGUUUCAAAGGAGAAGCGACUCUUGCUACAAAAUUUGCCACAGGUUAUCACAUUUCACUUGAAGAGAUUCAAGAAUAAUGGAUAUUUCAUGCUGAAGAACUGUAACUAUGUCGAGUUUCCGUUGGAGUUAGACUUGCAACCAUAUAUGAGCAAUGACCAAGUAUGUCAAACUGUCUCUCAUCACCCUUCGAAUUAUUUGUGUUUAUCUAAGAUAACACAUUUCUUUAUUUCUUAAUUUAGGUUGCUGCAAAAUAUUAUCUUUAUGCUCUUGUGAAGCAUUAUGGAUCAUUAGCUUAUGGUCAUUACUCUUCCUUUGUGAGGUCAGCCCCAAGUAUAUGGCAUAAGUUUAAUGACAAACAGGUGAUACAUCUAGUAGUAACGUUGAUUGAUUGAUUGAUGUAACAGUUUAAAUAAAUUAACAUGUCUCUUGCUGUGACUUUGAAAAACCUUGGUAGGUCACUAGAGUCGAUGAAGAUUGUGUGUUAUCACAAAAUUCAUAUAUUCUUUUCUAUGCAAGAGAAGGGACUCCAUGGUUUUCAACAGCCAUUGAAGAGUUACAUCCAAUGACCGAAGAAGAUACUAGCUCGGAAUAUCCUUCGCCAAAGUCCGUCUCUGAUCCUAGCAACGAGGAGUGUUCAUCUGAAAUCAGUUCUGAGAAUGUAUCCAAAAAGGGAUGUGGCUCAGCGGGAGUAUCAGACCUAUUACAUGUCGAGACAGAAGAGAGUUGUGGAACCCACUCCGACGAGCCUAAGGAAGAUAAUGAGUUGUCUCAAUCUGAAGAGUCUAGUGAUGAGGAAUCUUCCAUGGAAGUGCUUUUGG